AUGGUAAGCCUAUUACACGUGUUUAUAUUUUUGACCUGACGGGACGGUUUUCCCGGGUAACUGAAUACGUAUGGGCCUACGUCAAUCGCCCGUGAGUGUCUCGUCAUAUCCGUAAACAGAAAAAAGUUGCUCCGGCUACUUUGACUUGCUUGGUAUGGGAGCGGCAUAGGUUAGUUGUUAAAACGAGCGAGAAAAGUUGACAUGGAGCAGCUAAAUCUCCACCUUCCGGGGAAUUAUCCGUUUUUAACAAACGCCGAAAAGAGGAGAGUCUGCUGGCUGAAAGAGAAAGCGACAGAGCUCGUGAUCAGCUUGGCUUUUCGGAGAUUGCGAGAACUGACGGAUUUAAAAUGUUGUAGGCUAAAAGUGUGGCGGACAUUAAGUUUUUAUUACUCAACAGACAGCACUCGCUCAAACCCUCUGUGGUCCGGGGGGAGGAGCGGCCAGCUCUCCGAUUCAGCUUUUGACCACCAGAGAAGCAGAACUAAUGACAACAUUAGUCCGCUUUUGUGUACGAGGCCACCGGAUAUGGAUUAACCAAGCAAGAAAUAAUCUAGGAUUCUACAGUAUGCAUGAAUAAGCACAUGGGGUUUUUAAAUGUUUCGUUUUCGCCCCAAAAUGUGUUUUCCUUUUCUCUUUUUGGACGAGAUCCUGCGCUUUGUGGCUCUGAAGAUGAAGAGGAACUCAAGCAAGUGUGCUACUCAUUAAAUCGUUGAUUUGUUUAAUCUGCAGACCUCACACCAGACAGCUUUUCCUCAUGUGACCUUGUCUCUCUGUCUGUGUCUCUUUGUCUUUCUCAUAUAAAGAGGUUUUGAGCGAGUAUUUGACACUGGAACACAAAGCCUCCAGCCUGUGCUGUCUAACUAAAAUGACAUUGGUUUCUCU